GACGAACGCUGGCGGCGCGCUUAACACAUGCAAGUCGAACGGAAAGGCCUGCUUUCCCUUGUGGAUUGCGGGUACUCGAGUGGCGAACGGGUGAGUAACACGUGAGUGAUCUGCCCCCAACUUGGGUAUAAGCCUGGGAAACUGGGUCUAAUUCCCGAUAGGACUGCAGGGUGGUGCCUGUGGUGGAAAACGAUUUUCUAGUGGUUGGGGAUGAGCUCGCGGCCUAUCAGCUUGUUGGUGGGGUAAUGGCCUACCAAGGCGGCGACGGGUAGCCGGCCUGAGAGGGUGGACGGCCACAUUGGGACUGAGAUACGGCCCAGACGCCUACGGGAGGCAGCAGUGGGGAAUAGUGCACAAGGGGCGGAAGCCUGAUGCAGCGACGCCGCGUGGGGGAUGACGGCCUUCGGGUUGUAAACUCCUUUCGACCGCGAGGAAGCCACCUGGUUGGAAGGGUGGUGACGGUAGUGGUAGAAGAAGCACCGGCUAACUACGUG
rnacentral:rRNA from 1 species